CCUACGGGUGGCAGCAGUGAGGAAUAUUGGUCAAUGGGCGGGAGCCUGAACCAGCCAAGUCGCGUGAGGGAAGACGGUCCUAUGGAUUGUAAACCUCUUUAGGCGGGGAGCAAUGCCGGGCACGCGUGCCCGGAGGGAGAGUACCCGCAGAAUAAGCAUCGGCUAACUCCGUGCCAGCAGCCGCGGUAAUACGGAGGGUGCGAGCGUUAAUCGGAAUUACUGGGCGUAAAGCGCUCGUAGGCGGUAUGUCAAGUCAAGGGUGAAAUCCCCGCGCUAAACGUGGGAACUGCCUUUGAAACUGGCAAACGGGAUUGUGUGAGAGGAUAGGGGAAUUCGAGGUGUAGGAGUGAAAUCCGUAGAUAUGGGGAGGAACAUCAGUGGCGAGGGCGACUAGCUGGAACAUAACUGACGCUGAGGAGCGAAAGCGUGGGUAGCAAACAGGAUUAGAUACCCUGGUAGUC
rnacentral:rRNA from 1 species